UGGGGAAUCUUAGACAAUGGGGGAAACCCUGAUCUAGCCAUGCCGCGUGAGCGAUGAAGGCCUUAGGGUUGUAAAGCUCUUUCAGCUGGGAAGAUAAUGACGGUACCAGCAGAAGAAGCCCCGGCUAACUCCGUGCCAGCAGCCGCGGUAAUACGGAGGGGGCUAGCGUUGUUCGGAAUUACUGGGCGUAAAGCGCACGUAGGCGGAUUAGUCAGUCAGAGGUGAAAUCCCAGGGCUCAACCCUGGAACUGCCUUUGAUACUGCUAGUCUUGAGGUCGAGAGAGGUGAGUGGAAUUCCGAGUGUAGAGGUGAAAUUCGUAGAUAUUCGGAGGAACACCAGUGGCGAAGGCGGCUCACUGGCUCGAUACUGACGCUGAGGUGCGAAAGCGUGGGGAGCAAAACAGGAUUAGAUACCCUGGUAGUCCACGCCGUAAACGAUGAAUGCCAGUCGUCGGGUUGCAUGCAAUUCGGUGACACACCUAACGGAUUAAAGCAUUCCGCCUGGGGAGUACGGUCGCAAGAUUAAAACUUAAAUGAAUUGAC
rnacentral:rRNA from 1 species